rfam:Myotis davidii contig152118, whole genome shotgun sequence.
GGCGGUUCUCGGGUGAUGCACCCCGGAAUCGGGCUCCCUCCUCUCUGGUUUUGGGUGAGUCACCUGAGAACCACA